AAUGCAGUCGUAAGCUAGCCGCUGAAUUGAUCCUUCGGGUGAAGUGAGGCAAUGACUAGAGUGGCGAACUGGUGAGUAACACGUAAGAAACCUGCCCUUUAGUGGGGGAUAACAUUUGGAAACAGAUGCUAAUACCGCGUAACAACAAAUCACACAGUGAUCUGUUUGAAAGGUCCUUUUGGAUCGCUAGAGGAUGGUCUUGCGGCGUAUUAGCUUGUUGGUAGGGUAGAAGCCUACCAAGGCAAUGAUGCGUAGCCGAGUUGAGAGACUGGCCGGCCACAUUGGGACUGAGACACUGCCCAAACUCCUACGGGAGGCUGCAGUAGGGAAUUUUCCGCAAUGCACGAAAGUGUGACGGAGCGACGCCCCGUGUGUGAUGAAGGCUUUCGGGUCGUAAAGCACUGUUGUAAGGGAAGAAUAACUGAAUUCAGAGAAAGUUUUCAGCUUGACGGUACCUUACCAGAAAGGGAUGGCUAAAUACGUGCCAGCAGCCGCGGUAAUACGUAUGUCCCGAGCGUUAUCCGGAUUUAUUGGGCGUAAAGCGAGCGCACACGGUUUAUUAAGUCUGAUGUGAAAUCCCGAGGCCCAACCUCGGAACUGCAUUGCAAACUGAUUUACUUGAGUGCGAUAGAGGCAAGUGGAACUCCAUGUGUAGCGGUGAAAUGCGUAGAUAUGUGGAAGAACACCAGUGGCGAAAGGGGGUUGCUAGAUCGUAUCUGACGAUUGAGGCUCGAAAGUAUGGGUGUCAGACAGGAUUAGAUACCCCGGUCGUGCCCUACCGGUAUACGAGGUGCUAGUUGUU
rnacentral:rRNA from 1 species